AGCCAUGCAUGUCGAUGCAAUAAGGACCAACAGCUCAGUAGAACUGCCAUUAUUUAGUCUGUUUGAUAAGGAUAGCUACGUGAAAAUGUAGCUAAGACAGAACAGAAUAAGGCCAGGACUAUCAGUUAGUUGCUAGUGUAAUCGACUACCAAGGCGAUGACGGAAACGCGGAAUCAGGGUUUGAUACCGGAGAGGCAGCCUGAGAUAUAACUCCCACCUCCAUGGAUGGAAACGAUCGAGAAUUGCCCACUCUUGUAGGAGGCUGUUAUGAGACGUGAGAGUGAAUAUUCAGUAAAGAUGAAUAGGAGAAUUGGAGGGCAAGUUUGGUGCAGCCGCCGCGGUAAUGCCCACUUCAAGAGUGUGUAUGAGAGAUGCUGCAGUUAAAAAGCUCGUAGUCGUAGGAAAUGAAAUAGGGAUGAGAAGUCUCCUUUGUUAGUCUUAGAAAAACAGAUGGGGGACAUAGUAUACCAGGACGAGAGAUGAAAUGCCAAGACCCUGGUGGACUAAGCGAGGCUAAGCGAUGUUCUUGUAGGCAUUUGGUGAUCAAGGACGAGGGCUGGAUUAUCAAAAGGGAUUAGAUACCGCAGUAGUUUCAGCAGUAAAAGAUGCCGACAUGUCCAUUGGGACAGUGGACAAGGAGAAAUCUUAGAGUUCGGGCUCUGGGAAUAGUAUGCUCGCAAGAGUGAAAAUUAAAUAAAUU
rnacentral:rRNA from 1 species